AUUGAACGCUGGCGGCAGGCCUAACACAUGCAAGUCGAGCGGCAGCGGGAAAGUAGCUUGCUACUUUUGCCGGCGAGCGGCGGACGGGUGAGUAAUGCCUGGGAAAUUGCCCAGUCGAGGGGGAUAGCAGUUGGAAACGACUGCUAAUACCGCAUACGCCCUACGGGGGAAAGCAGGGGACCUUCGGGCCUUUCGCGAUUGGAUAUGCCCAGGUGGGAUUAGCUAGUUGGUGAGGUAAUGGCUCACCAAGGCGACGAUCCCUAGCUGGUCUGAGAGGAUGAUCAGCCACACUGGAACUGAGACACGGUCCAGACUCCUACGGGAGGCAGCAGUGGGGAAUAUUGCACAAUGGGGGAAACCCUGAUGCAGCCAUGCCGCGUGUGUGAAGAAGGCCUUCGGGUUGUAAAGCACUUUCAGCGAGGAGGAAAGGUUGAUGCCUAAUACGUAUCAACUGUGACGUUACUCGCAGAAGAAGCACCGGCUAACUCCGUGCCAGCAGCCGCGGUAA
rnacentral:rRNA from 1 species